rnacentral:rRNA from 1 species
UACGUAGGCAGCAAGCGUUGUUCGGAAUCACUGGGCGUAAAGGGCGUGCAGGCGGUCAGGUAAGUGGGAUGUGAAAUGCCCCGGCUCACCCGGGGACCUGCAUCCCAAACUACUUGGCUUGAGUAUGGGAGAGGAUGAGGGAAUUCCUGGUGUAGCGGUGAAAUGCGUAGAUAUCAGGAGGAACACCGGUGGCGAAAGCGCUCAUCUGGCCCAAUACUGACGCUGAGGCGCGAAAGCUAGGGGAGCAAACGGG